UACGUAGGGCGCGAGCGUUGUCCGGAUUUAUUGGGCGUAAAGAGCUCGUAGGCGGUCUGUCGCGUCGAUCGUGAAAACUUGGGGCUUAACCCCGAGCUUGCGGUCGAUACGGGCAUGACUGGAGUUCGGCAGGGGAGACCGGAAUUCCUGGUGUAGCGGUGAAAUGCGCAGAUAUCAGGAGGAACACCGGUGGCGAAGGCGGGUCGCUGGGCCGAUACUGACGCUGAGGAGCGAAAGCGUGGGGAGCGAACAGG
rnacentral:rRNA from 1 species